rnacentral:rRNA from 1 species
GACGAACGCUGGCGGCGUGCUUAACACAUGCAAGUCGAGCGGAGCGGCGAACGGGUGAGUAACGCGGGAGUAACUGCCCCCCUCUCUGGGAUAACAGUUGGAAACGGGUGCUAAUACCGGAUAGUGGGGGAUGAAUCGCGUCCUAUCAGCUUGUUGGUGGGGUAGUGGCCUACCAAGGCGACGACGGGUAGCCGGCCUGGGAGGGGGACCGGCAGCCUUGGGCGUAGAUACGGCCCAAACUCGUACGGGGGGCAGUAGUGGUGAAUAUUGCACAAUCGUGGAAACCCUGAUGCAUCGACGCCGCGUGCGGAAUGACGGCCUUCGGGUUGUGAACCGCAUUCAGCCAUGACGCGGUAGUGGCAGAAGAAGCACCGGCUAACUACGUGCCAGCAGCCGCGGUAAUUC